CAAGAAAAUAACUUGAAGAAGAAAGCUAUCAACUGUAACAGGACCAUCAUUUUCUCUUCUGGAACAAGAGAGAACUUGACGCAUCUGAAGAUGCUCACACACGUGUGCCAUGCUUCUGUAAGGCAGCAGUCACAGUACAUACAGGUCCAAGAAAAGAAAAGCGACCCAAAGGCUUUCAGGGGACUCAAGAAAUGGAUUGGUUCUGAGUAGAAGAAUUGUUUUUCCCAUGCUGACUAUGGAUGCCAGAGGCAGAAAUUUCAGAUGAGU
rnacentral:lncRNA from 1 species